CAAUAGCGUAUAUUAACGUUGUUGCAGUUAAAAAGCUCGUAGUUGGAUUUCUGGAGGGAGCGUCGGCCCGUAUUUACGAGUGCGUGACGUCUCUGUCCAUCCUUGCGAGAAGGCACGGCAUUGAUUUGUUGUGUCGGAUCGCAUCAUUUACUGUGAAAAAAUUAGAGUGUUCAAAGCAGGCUUUCGCUUGAAUACAUUAGCAUGGAAUAAUAAGAUAGGACUUUGGUGCUAUUUUGUUGGUUGAGCCUAAAGUAAUGAUUAAUAGGGAUAGUUGGGGGCACCUGUAUUGCGUUGUCAGAGGUGAAAUUCUUGGAUUUACGCAAGACAAACAGCUGCGAAAGCGUCUGCCAAGGAUGUUUUCAUUAA
rnacentral:rRNA from 1 species